rnacentral:rRNA from 1 species
AGUGGCGAACGGGUGAGUAAUACAUAGGUAACCUGCCCCUGUGCGGGGGAUAACAGGAGGAAACUCCUGCUAAUACCGCAUAGCCAUGAGCACCGCAUGGAGCUCAUGCCAAAUAUCCUUCAGGGGAUAGCGCAGGGAUGGACCUAUGGCGCAUUAGCUAGUUGGCGGGGCAACGGCCCACCAAGGCAACGAUGCGUAGCCGGCCUGAGAGGGCGGACGGCCACAUUGGGACUGAGACACGGCCCAGACUCCUACGGGAGGCAGCAGUAGGGAAUUUUCGGCAAUGGGGGAAACCCUGACCGAGCAACGCCGCGUGAGCGAAGAAGGCCUUCGGGUCGUAAAGCUCUGUUGUAAAGGAAGAACGUCGCAUGCAGGAAAUGGUGUGCGAGUGACGGUACUUUACCAGAAAGCCACGGCUAACUACGUGCCAGCAGCCGCGGUAAUACGUAGGUGGCGAGCGUUAUCCGGAAUCAUUGGGCGUAAAGAGGGAGCAGGCGGCCGCAAGGGUCUGUGGUGAAAGACCGAAGCUAAACUUCGGUAAGCCAUGGAAACCGGGCGGCUAGAGUGCGGAAGAGGAUCGUGGAAUUCCAUGCGUAGCGGUGAAAUGCGUAGAUAUAUGGAGGAACACCAGUGGCGAA